rnacentral:piRNA from 1 species
UCUACGUUCAAGGAUAAGUGUUUACAGAAG